UACGGAGGGUGCGAGCGUUGUCCGGAAUCAUUGGGCGUAAAGCGCGCGCAGGCGGUCCUUUAAGUCUGAUGUGAAAGCCCACGGCUCAACCGUGGAGGGUCAUUGGAAACUGGGGGGACUUGAGUGCAGGAGAGAAGAGUGGAAUUCCACGUGUAGCGGUGAAAUGCGUAGAGAUGUGGAGGAACACCAGUGGCGAAGGCGACUCUCUGGGACGGUACUGACGCUGAGACGCGAAAGCGUGGGGAGCGAACAGG
rnacentral:rRNA from 1 species